rnacentral:rRNA from 1 species
CCUACGGGAGGCAGCAGUCGAGAAUUAUUCACAGUGGGGGAAACGCUGAUGGUGCGACGCCGCGUGGGGGAAUGAAGGUCUUCGGAUUGUAAACCCCUGUCAUGUGGGAGCAAAUGAAAAAGAUAGUACCACAAGAGGAAGAGACGGCUAACUCUGUGCCAGCAGCCGCGGUAAUACAGAGGUCUCAAGCGAUGUUCGGAAUCACUGGGCGUAAAGCGUGCGUAGGCGGUUUCGUAAGUCGUGUGUGAAAGGCGCGGGCUUAACCCGCGGACGGCAUAUGAUACUGCGAGACUAGAGUAAGUGAGGGGGAACCGGAAUUCUCGGUGUAGCAGUGAAAUGCGUAGAUAUCGAGAGGAACACUCGUGGCGAAGGCGGGUUCCUGGACAUUAACUGACGCUGAGGCACGAAGGCCAGGGGAGCGAAAGGGAUUAGAUACCCGUGUAGUC